rnacentral:rRNA from 1 species
GCUUGUCUCAAAGAUUAAGCCAUGCAUGUCUAAGUAUAAAUGGUAUACAGUGAAACUGCGAAUGGCUCAUUAAAACAGUUAUAGUUUAUUUGGUAUUCGAAUUUACAUGGAUAACCGUGGUAAUUCUAGAGCUAAUACAUGCAUUACGCCUGACUUUUCGGAAGGGCAGUAUUUAUUAGAUAACAGACCAUCUCCCCCAAAGGAAAUGUGGUGAAUCAUAGUAACUGAUCGAAUCUCAAAUUUGAGAUAAAUCAUUCAAGUUUCUGCCCUAUCAGCUUUCGAUGGUAGUGUAUUGGACUACCAUGGCAGUAACGGGUAACGAAGAAUUAGGGUUCGAUUUCGGAGAGGGAGCAUGAGAAACGGCUACCACAUCUAAGGAAGGCAGCAGG